rnacentral:lncRNA from 10 species
CCUCAAGGUACUUCUAAUUCAUAUGAGGCAAAAAGAUGCUGACAAAAUAAAUACACAAUGAUUAUAUUAAGUGAUAAGUAUUGUAAAGAAUAAGGCAGGGAAAGGAAUAGAAAGUGGUGGAGAGGACAGUGUUUUCUGUAUGUAGGCAGAGAUCUUUGCCCUGGUAAGGAAAAAGAGAAGGGACCUGAAUGAAUUAAGGAAGAAGCCAUGAAGCAAUAGUGGAAUUAAGCAUUCUGAGAAGAGGGAAGAACAGUGCAAAUGCUAUGUUUGCCGGAGCAUGUAAUUGCUGGAGUGGGAUCCUUCAUGGAUUUCUCUUAUCCUGGCAUUGACAAUGAUAGAAGAGGAGGCCCCUCCUUCUACCUGGGUAACUGUGAUUAACAGACACAGAAUGGACGUGUGCUGAGAAAGAAAUCGUUGCUAUGUUAAGGUAAAAAUCGGUAGCAAAUUCACUCAGAUUCAGAAGGAAGAACAGAAGCUUCAUCUCUCAAUGAGAGGAUUGCCCUAUCAGUACUUCCAAAAGUGAAAAUGGGAACUGCAUUAAAAGACAAGUAAGAUACCCUUCCAUUUUUUCUUACAGUAGGAUAUUUUCCUCCUUUAUUGCAAUAAAAGACUGGUUUAUUCUCUGGAAAGAGUAAAAUGUCUGUUCCUGUGUCUGCAAAACACCUGAUGGAGUUGAGAUCAAAGGUAUGAAAGGGAAACUAGGCAUUAGGAAGUGUAUGUAUACUGGGUGCUAAUAGUCCCCAGUCCUCCUUUCCCCUUAACCCACAGAACACAGGUACCAGUCUACCCUCUGGGCA